ACAAAUUAUGAUGAACAGGAUUCUGCAACGCCUCUUUCAGAAGCUGAAGCAAUUGACCUGGUGAAAACCGUUUUUGCAUCUGCUACUGAGAGGGAUAUCUACACCGGUGACAAACUCGAAAUCGUCAUUCUUAAUGCCGAUGGUAUUCGUCGUGAAUACAUGGAUCUCCGUAAAGAUUAGUUUGGUGUUGGCUUGAUUGAUUAAAUGUGAUGGCAACCGUUUGAGUUCCCCAUCGGCAUACCCGUCCAUGAGAUUAUUGCACUGUGGUAUUUACGGAUGGUUAAAUUUUAGUUUCUCUGUAAUAUGACCUCUGUUUCCAGGUUAAAUUCUCUGUUGUGAACAUGGGAUUG
rnacentral:misc_RNA from 1 species